AGGGGGUCUCGAGACCCGCUAAGUCUCCAAUCUGUUGCUAACCCACCAGCCCCC
rnacentral:tRNA from 1 species